AGGAUAUUAUCCUUUGGAUCAAAUCAUUUAUAGAAUACUUUAGUGGAAAAUGACCUCUUUUGAAAAUGCUAUGGCAGACUUGGCAUUUAAUGAAAUGUGAGCUUCAGGAAGAAUAAGAACUUCCUAUAAAUAACAACAGUUGAUACAAGAGAGUCAUGUUUGUUAGUGAGGUUCAAGAGCAGUGGAUAGUUUCUGCAGGAGGAUGCACAGCAGUUGGACAGGUGCAAACAAGAGAUAUUCAACCUACAAAAGAAGAAUCUUUGCUGUGCAGAUCUUAGUGACUGCUGGAGAGUUGUGGAGAAUGCAGGGAGACAAAUAGAACAAGGGGCUUCAUUACUCCAGGUCAACUUUUUCAAAUAAAGAAACAGAGUCCAAAACACCAAAGCCACAGCCUGGGACUAGAAUCUGGGUCAUGUGCAAGGACAGACAGAAGCUGAGAAGGCCAAGAGAGAUACCUGCAGUACUGACUCACCAUUCCUGAAGCAUCUCCUCUGUAUGUGGUGACCAGG